CUUAUCUUUCUGUCACUCUGCACACCAAGUCCCCUCUUCCUCCUCCCCGCCCCACUCCACACCGAUGUUCCGCGCUGCCGUCUGAGGGGAGCCAGGAGACCGAGGAGAUUUUCGCCUUUUUUUCACGAGGGAGGUGCUGCGGCUGCUGGGAGGAAACAAUCUCGUGAGGCAACAACAGGCGUAAAGCAA